AUGAUCGGAUCACCUCCUGAGUCCUGCAUCGCUGUACGGGUCACCCCCUCCCGCUGUGCCGCUGCUGGUCAGACUCUGUUGUGGGUGGCUGGCCACACAGCCCCCCCACCGUCAUGGUCAGUCUGUCUUCCUCGCGGUGUGACGUCAGUAUGUCACACCGCGGUCCCUUCCUUCCCGUCCGCCCUGCGCUGCCGCUGUUCUCUUGGCUCCCGCCCGAGCUCAGUUUCAUGUGUGCGGCGUGCCACUGCCCUGCCCUACCCCUGCCAUUUUCAGCAGCGCCUGCAGUCAGCACACACCACGCCAGCCAGGACUGGAGCCCCUAGGAACGCUGGAGGAGGAGGACACAGUGGUGCAGACAGCAGUAGCACGUAGGAAGGACGCCCUGGAGGACUCACCCUGGGAGAAGGAGUUGGCCGUGCACCCUGGGAGUGGACUUCACUGCGGGAAAACAGUGCUGGGUCACACCGAAGACCAGAAGAGGAGCUGAGACCUGCGCACCAGCUGAAGAGACGUGAGGGAGCGAGCCGCAGGACUGGGAGAGGACCAACGCCAGGGAGGAGCUGCCCACACCUGCGCCCGUCACUGGAGCAUCCAGAGCCGUCCGCGUAGAAUGGAGAAGACGCCUCCGAAGAGGAGACCAGCCAGUCGCAGGACCGGAAAGGUCAUCCAACCUUCAGCGGAUCGGGACCCUGCAGCAAGAGAGGAGACUAACCAGCAAUGGGAGCACCGGCAUCGCUGAGGACACCCGCUUACUGGAGCAAGGACCUGCAGAAGACCCCGGCUGGCUUAAAGAAGACAGCGCGAAACAGCGGGGGGGACGGUGCAGAUCGGGAUCCUGCAGCAGGAGAGAAGAUCCCCCUUCGGAGUGCAGCAGACCACACUGAAAAGGGUGCAACCCCGGUGCGGUGCUCUGCAUCCCGGGUGGUGCCAAAGACAUGGAGUAUCGAAGGUGGCAGAAGCGCCGCAACUCGGGGCCAGAGCAGGUAGACCACUGCUGCCCCUCAUGGAAUAAAUUGAAUGUGUUGAGUUUAUCGAUAUGGAUAAUGAUAAUGAUCAGUCGAGAGAAGAGAAGGAACAGCAAACGAAUACUGAACUACAAAUUUCACAAGGAAAACCUUUAUACUCAAAGUACAGAGACUUCUGCAAUGAUGGAUUCCAGCGGGGAUGAAUUCAUAUUGUGUGAGGAUGAUGUAAACACUGAGGAGCCAGUUCUUGUGCUGAAGUGAUUGGUUUGUAAAACUGUGCAUGUAUUUUUUUAUUUCCAACAUAAGGGUGGGUGUGAGCGCCCAAGGUCAAUUCCAACUUGCACAACUUUUCUGCCACUGCUGUGUGGCAAUGUUUCAUAGAUGUGCUAUAAACUGCCAUGUGUUUGUGCCUUUGGCCUAAACCUGAUGAAAACAAUAUUGUGAGUUGUGAGGUGAUCAAAAUUGAUUUGAAAUGGCUGGAAAUGAAUGU